AUUGCAUACGGCGUUGUUUACAAGACUCUGAGAACAUUUACCUGCAUUUUACAGCAACGGGAACAGCGCGGCAAAGUGCACAUGCGCUUUAUCGACACCGAUCUACGUCAAUGAGGGCGGCGUCCACAAGUGUGUCCGAGCCAAGAACCUCAACGAAGCGUGCGUCAGCAACCAGGAGUGCAGCUACGGCAACCCGAACGUGCAGUGCGUCAACUCCCUUUGCAACUGCUCGCACCCGUUCGAGUUGACAGCAGCGAGGCUUUGCCUGUUGCCUACAAAUCAAGGAGGCGACAUGGUUACCAUCGCCCUUAGCGUGAUGCUGGCCCUGGCUUUGCUGCUCUUGGCUGCUGGCUAUGUCUAUCAAAAGAUGGUGCGCGAGCGUGACGGUUCAAGCAGCAGCAGUCACCGCUCGAGGCGCAAACGUAAACGCAGUUCAGACGUCACGACCACGUCUUCGACGAUUUACAUCCUGACUAAGGACAGGUCCUUGCCAGACGUCGACAACGAGCCGGAGUACUC